rnacentral:rRNA from 1 species
UACAGAGGGGGCAAGCGUUAUUCGGAAUUAUUGGGCGUAAAGGGCGUGUAGGCGGCUUUUCAAGUGACGGGUGAAAUCCCUCGGCUUAACCGAGGAACUGCCUGUCAGACUGGAAGGCUUGAGACCGGGAGAGGUGAGUGGAAUUCCCAGUGUAGCGGUGAAAUGCGUAGAUAUUGGGAGGAACACCAGUGGCGAAGGCGGCUCACUGGACCGGAACUGACGCUGAGGCGCGAAAGCGUGGGGAGCAAACAGG